rnacentral:rRNA from 1 species
CCUACGAGAGGCAGCAGUGAGGAAUAUUGGUCAAUGGACGCAAGUCUGAACCAGCCAAGUAGCGUGCAGGAUGACGGCCCUCCGGGUUGUAAACUGCUUUUUGUUGGGAAUAAAAGCGGGCUCGUGAGCCCUGUAUUGUAUGUACCAUCAGCAAAAGGACCGGCUAAUUCCGUGGCAGCAGCCGCGGUAAUACGGAAGGUCCGGUAGUUAUCCGGAUUUAUUGUGUUUCACGGGAGCGUAGGCCGGCGUGUAAGUCAGCUGUGAAAGUCCGCGGCUCAACCGUAGAAUUGCAGUUGAAACUGGAGGCCUUGAGGGCACACAGGGAUGCCGGAAUUCAUGGUGUAGCGGUGAAAUGCUUAGAUAUCAUGAAGAACUCCGAUCGCGAAGGCAAGUGUCCGGGGUGCAACUGACGCUGAGGCUCGAAAGUGCGGGUAUCAAACAGGAUUAGAUACCCGAGUAGUC